AUCAGCUGUGUAUGUGCAAGAAAAGGCUGGAGGUGGUACAGGUCUAAUUCACCUCAUGGGGGUCCUCUAGAAUGCAAAUCCACCAGCACUAGAGAUUUAAAGUGAAAUGCCUGGUUAUACACAGCAUCUGAAAAAUGGGCAAUAUGCUCUUUAAGAUUUGUAUUCUUGUCUGAUCCACUGUUAUUAGAUCAUGAAUCCCUUGCAGAAGUGCUUGCUUAAUGGAUAAACAGGAUGAAAUCUUCAGCUGUUCAGAAGUAGGACUGAAAUAGCAACACAGCUCCACUGUCAGCUCCUCAUUAUCUGGGACGAAGACUGGAAGAUAAGAAAAGAAUUUGGAAAAAUUCAGGGAGGCGGAGCAUGCCUUAUGCACCAGGACUGGAACUGUGGGCAAG
rnacentral:lncRNA from 1 species